rnacentral:rRNA from 1 species
AACGAACGCUGGCGGCAGGCUUAACACACGCAAGUCGAACGCAUCGCAAGAUGAGUGGCAGACGGGUGAGUAACGCGUGGGAACAUACCCUUUUCUACGGAAUAGCUCUGGGAAACUGGAAUUAAUACCGUAUACGCACUACGGGGGAAAGAUUUAUCGGGGAAGGAUUGGCCCGCGUUGGAUUAGCUAGUUGGUGGGGUAAAGGCCUACCAAGGCGACGAUCCAUAGCUGGUCUGAGAGGAUGAUCAGCCACGUUGGGACUGAGACACGGCCCAAACUCCUACGGGAGGCAGCAGUGGGGAAUAUUGGACAAUGGGCGCAAGCCUGAUCCAGCCAUGCCGCGUGAGUGAUGAAGGCCUUAGGGUUGUAAAGCUCUUUCACCGAUGAAGAUAAUGACGGUAGUCGGAGAAGAAGCCCCGGCUAACUUCGUGCCAGCCGCCGCAGUAAGAC